rnacentral:rRNA from 1 species
CCUACGGGAGGCAGCAGUAGGGAAUAUUGCGCAAUGGGGGAAACCCUGAAGCAGCAACGCCGCGUGGAGGAUGAAGGUUUUCGGAUUGUAAACUCCUUUUGUUAGAGAAGAUAAUGACGAUAUCUAACGAAUAAGCACCGGCUAACUCCGUGACAGCAGCCGCGGUAAUACUGAGGGUGCAAGCGUUACUCGGAAUCACUGGGCGUAAAGAGCGCGGAGGCGGGUUAGAAAUUCAUAUGUGAAAUCCUAUGGCUUAACCAUAGAACUGCAUUUGAAACUGUUAUUCUAGAGUAUGGGAGAGGUAGGUGGAAUUCCUGGUGUAGGGGUAAAAUCCGUAGAGAUUAAGAGGAAUA